rnacentral:rRNA from 1 species
GAUGAACGCUGGCGGCGUGCUUAACACAUGCAAGUCGAACGGUGAAAGAGAGCUUGCUCUCUGGAUCAGUGGCGAACGGGUGAGUAACACGUGAGCAAUCUGCCCCUGACUCUGGGAUAAGCGCUGGAAACGGCGUCUAAUACCGGAUACGAGCUGCGAAGGCAUCUUCAGCAGCUGGAAAGAACUUCGGUCAGGGAUGAGCUCGCGGCCUAUCAGCUAGUUGGUGAGGUAACGGCUCACCAAGGCGUCGACGGGUAGCCGGCCUGAGAGGGUGACCGGCCACACUGGGACUGAGACACGGCCCAGACUCCUACGGGAGGCAGCAGGGGGGAAUAUUGCACAAUGGGCGAAAGCCUGAUGCAGCAACGCCGCGUGAGGGACGACGGCCUUCGGGUUGUAAACCUCUUUUAGCAGGGAAGAAGCGAAAGUGACGGUACCUGCAGAAAAAGCACCGGCUAACUACGUG